AUUGAACGCUGGCGGCAGGCUUAACACAUGCAAGUCGAGCGAGCGGCGGACGGGUGAGUAAGUUCUGGGAAACUGCCUGAUGGAGGGGGAUAACUACUGGAAACGGUAGCUAAUACCGCAUACCAUCAGAUGUGCCCAGAGGGGAUUAGCUAGUAGGUGGGGUAAUGGCUCACCUAGGCGACGAUCCCUAGCUGGUCUGAGAGGAUGACCAGCCACACUGGAACUGAGACACGGCCCAGACUCCUACGGGAGGCAGCAGUGGGGAAUAUUGGGCAAUGGGCGAAAGCCUGACGCAGCAAUGCCGCGUGUGUGAAGAAGGCUUUCGGGUUGUAAAGCACUGUCAGCGAGGAGGCGUUACUCGAAGAAGAAGCACCGGCUAACUACGUGCCAGCAGCCGCGGUAAUAC
rnacentral:rRNA from 1 species